UCCGAUUGACUUACUUCACUCAGCAGAAUACCCUCCAGUUCCCUCCACGUCGAAGAAAAUGCAAACAGCUACAGGGAUAGAACACCCGUCCUCACCCAGGCAGACCACUUUGAACAACACACUCCCGUGGAGCAUCACUGGAACAUGGAAACCUCCAUCAUCCUUCAAAAUCCUGCAUCCUUAGAUUUCCUUGAUCCUCCUCCCCAGCCCUUCCUUCUCUACCCCCCAGAGUCUCUCUGUCCCAGGAGACGCUGAAUUCCUUGAAGACAGUGGCUAUGAUAUAUAUAUGCAUUCCUGAAAGCUUAGCACAAUGCCUCGGAUAUCCCAGGGGCUCAGAAAAGAGGUAAUAAGCGAACAAAAGAGUGCAGCUUGAGCUCUCCGAGCACUGAUUUAGGCAUGAUGGGUUUCCAAGUCACCGCCCAAUUAAAAGGCUCCAAUUUAUGCUUAGAAUGUUGCAGGUCAAGUCUUAAUGUGCUGGCUGGAGCUCCUCUCCUUGCCGGGACACGACAGGAAGGUGUUUGGGUGGUAUUGAAAUGACUCAUUGCCCCGGUGGCUUAACAGGAUUACCAAGGGGCUCACAUCGCUCAAUGAAGCAUGGUGGGAGCCCCAGCAGUGCCAGCCUGGUCAGAAGCCGAAGCUGUUAUCUCUGUCGCUGCUUCUCUGCUGCCUGGGGACAGAGGAAAUUAAAAGUCACCGCAGUCCGCUAGCUGAGAAGAGAAAGGUUCCAAAGAAACUCAGGGAGUGCCUCCUCACCCUCACUGAAUUUCAUCCCACUCUGUCCUCAAGAUCGCAGAAGGCCUUGCUGGAAGGGACUUUGGAUAAAAUCUGGGUCAAUCUCCUCUUGCAGAUUGGGGAGCUAACAUCCAGAGAGAGGCAUCGACUCCUCAAGGCCACACAGCUAAUAAGUGACAGGAUUGAGAGCUGAGUCUGCACAUUUUUGUUCCCCAUCCGGUGAAGAAACAUCAUGACCUGGAACCAGGCGAGGAAGUAUAUCUCGCAGGAAGGGUAAAUUCAUACCUGGUUGUGUUUGUUGAUUUGGUUUUCCGUUUUGUUUUACUUUAUUUUUUAAUGGAAGUGGAAGUCACAUGACAUAAAAAGGACCAUUUUAAAGUCUACCCUUUAGUGGCAUUUAGUAGAUUCACAACGCGGAAUCACCUCUAUCCAGUUCUGAGAUAGAUCACCCUUCCCCCAAAGAAAACCCCUUACCUAUUGAUCAGCUGUUCCCCAUUUCUUUGUCCUCCCAGACUGGCAACUUCCAGUCUGCACUCUGACUCCACAGAUUUGCCUUUUCUGGACAUUUCAUAUAAAUGGAAUC